GAUUGUAGUGGAAAGAAAUGGCCUACAUUUUCUGACAAAGAAAAUAGACGAAUAACACUGUGAAACCAGUGAUUGAAGGUGGAUUUAGCAGUAAAAAGAAAAUAGAAAA
rnacentral:rRNA from 1 species